rnacentral:rRNA from 1 species
UACGAAGGGGGCUAGCGUUGUUCGGAUUUACUGGGCGUAAAGCGCACGUAGGCGGUUUGUUAAGUCAGGGGUGAAAUCCCAGAGCUCAACCCUGGAACUGCCUUUGAUACUGGCAAGCUAGAGUCCGGAAGAGGUAAGUGGAACUCCUAGUGUAGAGGUGGAAUUCGUAGAUAUUAGGAAGAACACCGGUGGCGAAGGCGGCCCACUGGCUCGAUACUGACGCUGAGGUGCGAAAGCGUGGGGAGCAAACAGG